GUGAAUCAUCAAAUUUUUGAACGCAAAUUGCACUCUCCUCGGAGAGUAUGCCUGUUUGAGGGUCAGCCUAUAAAAAAUCGACAUCGUUGCUGUUUCGCGGUGGCGUUUGUCGGAAAUUGGGUCAUCUUAAAUUUUUUGGUUUCAAGCGUCCUAAAAUUUUUGCUUUGGUUCCAUGUACGUUUUUAAGAUUUAUUUCUUUACAGGUUUAAGGUAUCGAUUUUUAUUAGACGUGACCAUCAUAUCGGAUCGCGCAUACAAUUUUU
rnacentral:misc_RNA from 1 species